GAUCAUUAUUGAAUAUGAAUCGGUUCUGAUGCUGGCCUCUCGGGGCAUGUGCUCGUUCCGAAUCUAUUUAUCUUCUCUUGUGCACCUCUUGUAGUCUAUGGAAAGCAAGUGAACCCCUCGCAGCAAUGCGGUCUUGGGGUUUGGACGGCUCACGUAGUCCUUACCUCUGCCUUGCUCUGCUUUUCAUGGCUAUGUUUUCAUAUACCCUAUAUAAAGUUACAGAAUGUCUAUUUAACGAUUGUCGCUCGCGCGCAGUCAUUAAACCUAUACAACUUUCAGCAACGGAUCUCUUGGCUCUCCCAUCGAUGAAGAACGCAGCGAAAUGCGAUAAGUAAUGUGAAUUGCAGAAUUCAGUGAAUCAUCGAAUCUUUGAACGCACCUUGCGCCCUUUGGUAUUCCGAAGGGCAUGCCUGUUUGAGUGUCAUUAAAUUCUCAACCUUGCUCGCUUUUACCGGCUUGAGUGAGGCUUGGACUUGAGGGCUUUGCUGGCUUCCUUUAUUGGAUGGUCUGCUCCCUUUAAAUGCAUUAGUGGGAUCUCUUGUGGACCGUCACUUGGUGUGAUAAUUAUCUAUGCCUCGUCGACUUUGAAGCAAAACUUAUGGGAGCCCGCUCAUAACCGUCUCGCAAGGGACAACAUCUUUGACAUUUUGACCUCAAAUCAGGUAGGACUACCCGCUGAACUUAAGCAUAUCAAUAAGCGGAGGAAAAGAAACUAACAAGGAUUCCCCUAGUAACUGCGAGUGAAGCGGGAAAAGCUCAAAUUUAAAAUCUGGCGGUCCUCGUGGCCGUCCGAGUUGUAAUUUAGAGAAGUGUUAUCCGCGCUGGACCGUGUACAAGUCUCCUGGAAUGGAGCGUCAUAGAGGGUGAGAAUCCCGUCUUUGACACGGACUGCCAGGGCAUUGUGAUGCGCUCUCGAAGAGUCGAGUUGUUUGGGAAUGCAGCUCAAAAUGGGUGGUAAAUUCCAUCUAAAGCUAAAUAUUGGGGAGAGACCGAUAGCGAACAGGUACCGUGAGGGAAAGAUGAAAAGAACUUUGGAAAGAGAGUUAAACAGUACGUGAAAUUGCUGAAAGGGAAACGCUUGAAGUCAGUCGCGUCGUUCAGGACUCAGCCUUGCUUUUGCUUGGUGUAUUUCUUGUUCGACGGGUCAGCAUCAAUUUUGGUCGGUGGAUAAAGGCUUAGAGAAUGUGGCAUCUUCGGGUGUGUUAUAGCUCUGGGUCGCAUACAUCGGCUGGGAUUGAGGAACUCAGCACGCCGCAAGGCCGGGUACUUGUACCACGUU
rnacentral:rRNA from 1 species